rnacentral:rRNA from 1 species
UACAGAGGGUGCGAGCGUUAAUCGGAAUUACUGGGCGUAAAGGGCGCGUAGGCGGUUAGAUAAGUGAGAUGUGAAAUCCCUGGGCUUAACCUAGGAACUGCAUCUUAUACUGUUUAGCUGGAGUGCAGUAGAGGGUAGUGGAAUUUCCGGUGUAGCGGUGAAAUGCGUAGAUAUCGGAAGGAACACCAGUGGCGAGGGCGGCUACCUGGACUGACACUGACGCUGAGGCGCGAGAGCGUGGGGAGCAAACAGG